ACAAGCGGAGGAGCAUGUGGUUAAUUCGAUGAUACGCGAGGAACCUUACCUGGGCUCGAACGUAAGAUGACUGUAGGUGAAAGCUUACAUCUCUUCGGAGCAUUUUACGAGGUGCUGCAUGGUUGUCGUCAGCUCGUGCCGUGAGGUGUCGGGUUAAGUCCCAUAACGAGCGCAACCCCUACCUUAGUUGCCAUCAGGUUAAGCUGGGGACUCUAAAGGAACUGCCUACGCAAGUAGUGAGGAAGGCGGGGAUGACGUCAAAUCAGCACGGCCCUUACGUCCAGGGCUACACACGUGCUACAAUGGCCGAUACAGAGGGCAGCUACCUGGUGACAGGAUGCAAAUCUCCAAAGUCGGUCUCAGUUCGGAUCGGAGUCUGCAACCCGACUCCGUGAAGUUGGAUUCGCUAGUAAUCGCGCAUCAGCCAUGGCGCGGUGAAUACGUUCCCGGGCCUU
rnacentral:rRNA from 1 species